rnacentral:rRNA from 1 species
GACGAACGCUGGCGGCGUGCUUAACACAUGCAAGUCGAACGGAAAGGCCCUGCUUUUGUGGGGUGCUCGAGUGGCGAACGGGUGAGUAACACGUGAGUAACCUGCCCUUGACUUUGGGAUAACUUCAGGAAACUGGGGCUAAUACCGGAUAGGAGCUCCUGCUGCAUGGUGGGGGUUGGAAAGUUUCGGCGGUUGGGGAUGGACUCGCGGCUUAUCAGCUUGUUGGUGGGGUAGUGGCUUACCAAGGCUUUGACGGGUAGCCGGCCUGAGAGGGUGACCGGCAACAUUGGGACUGAGAUACGGCCCAGACUCCUACGGGAGGCAGCAGUGGGGAAUAUUGCACAAUGGGCGGAAGCCUGAUGCAGCAACGCCGCGUGCGGGAUGACGGCAUUCGGGUUGUAAACCGCUUUCGCCUGUGACGAAGCGUGAGUGACGGUAAUGGGUAAAGAAGCACCGGCUAACUACGUG